rnacentral:sRNA from 1 species
GCUGGGCACAGUGGUGCAUGCCUGUAAUCCCAGCAGCUUGGGAUGCUGAGACAGGAGGAUUGAGAGUUCAAAGCCAGCCUCAGCAAUGGCAAGACACUAAGCAACUCAAUGAGACCCUGUCUCUA